rnacentral:lncRNA from 1 species
UAGAGUUGUGUCUGAAGGAGUCCCUGUGUAUGGGAGUCUCCAGUAAGCUCCUACUAGAUGUGACGGGAGCUCAAGUUUCAGACCUGGACUUCAGCUUCAGCCUGAACGACAGAGUUCAGAGCAGUUGUUCAGAUUCAUCUUCUGUGGGCAGCAUGAAAGAGAGCGACUCACCCGCGUCUGUGAGAGAUUCAAAGAGAAACGGCGAGCAAACAGGUCACACUCAGGUGAGUCACACACACACAUACACACACACACUCGCUCGCACAAACACACACACACACACAUACACACACACACACACACACAUACAGUCGCUCGCUCAAACACACACACACACU